rnacentral:rRNA from 2 species
GGGGAAUUUUCCGCAAUGGGCGAAAGCCUGACGGAGCAAUACCGCGUGAGGGAGGAAGGCUCUUGGGUUGUAAACCUCUUUUCUCAGGGAAUAAGAAAGUGAAGGUACCUGAGGAAUCAGCAUCGGCUAACUCCGUGCCAGCAGCCGCGGUAAUACGGAGGAUGCAAGCGUUAUCCGGAAUGAUUGGGCGUAAAGCGUCCGCAGGUGGUUGCUCAAGUCUGCUGUCAAAGAGUCUGGCUCAAUCAGAUAAAGGCAGUGGAAACUGAGAGACUAGAGUGCGGUAGGGGCAGAGGGAAUUCCUGGUGUAGCGGUGAAAUGCGUAGAGAUCAGGAAGAACACCGGUGGCGAAAGCGCUCUGCUGGACCGCAACUGACACUAAGGGACGAAAGCUAGGGGAGCGAAUGGGAUUAGAUACCCCAGUAGUCCUAGCCGUAAACGAUGGAUACUAGGCGUUGCCCGUAUCGACCCGGGCAGUGUCGUAGCCAACGCGUUAAGUAUCCCGCCUGGGGAGUACGCACGCAAGUGUGAAACUCAAAGGAAUUGACGGGGGCCCGCACAAGCGGUGGAGUAUGUGGUUUAAUUCGAUGCAACGCGAAGAACCUUACCAGGACUUGACAUGUCCGGAACUUCGGUGAAAGCUGAAGGUGCCUACGGGAACCGGAACACAGGUGGUGCAUGGCUGUCGUCAGCUCGUGUCGUGAGAUGUUGGGUUAAGUCCCGCAACGAGCGCAACCCUCGUUCUUAGUUGCCAGCAAUUCGGUUGGGCACUCUAGGGAGACUGCCGGUGACAAACCGGAGGAAGGUGGGGAUGACGUCAAGUCAGCAUGCCCCUUACGUCCUGGGCUACACACGUACUACAAUGCUGUGGACAAAGGGCAGCAAGCUAGCGAUAGCAAGCAAAUCCCAUAAACCACGGCUCAGUUCAGAUCGCAGGCUGCAACUCGCCUGCGUGAAGGAGGAAUCGCUAGUAAUUGCAGGUCAGCAUACUGCAGUGAAUUCGUUCCCGGGCCUUGUACACACCGCCCGUCACACCAUGGAAGCUGGUCACGCCCGAAGUCGUUACCCUAACCCCUCGGGGAGGGGGACGCCGAAGGUAGGACUGGUGACUGGGGUGAAGUCGUAACAAGGUAGCCGUACCGGAAGGUGUGGCUGGAUCACCUCCUU